UACGGGGGGGGCAAGCGUUGUUCGGAAUUACUGGGCGUAAAGGGCUCGUAGGCGGCCAACUAAGUCAGACGUGAAAUCCCUCGGCUUAACCGGGGAACUGCGUCUGAUACUGGACGGCUUGAGUUUGGGAGAGGGACGCGGAAUUCCAGGUGUAGCGGUGAAAUGCGUAGAUAUCUGGAGGAACACCGGUGGCGAAGGCGGCGUCCUGGACCAACACUGACACUGAGACGCGAAAGCGUGGGUAGCAAACAGG
rnacentral:rRNA from 1 species